AUGUAUUUUUACUCCAUUCAGAUUGAUUCAAAAGUUUGGUUUCUUUUUCUUUUCAUAGAUGCCUUUAAAGUUAAUUUGAAAAAUACUGAUAGAGCUGUUCGAGGCACUGAGCAAACUUGUGAACGACUAGCAAACGGAAAAAUCAUGGAAAACAGCACCUUGUUAAAUGCCAGUGAGACUCAGUUCGAUGUGAUAAAUGUAUCUGAAGAAACUUUAAACCGUCAAGAAGAUAAGCGAAAAAAUAUGUCAAUUACGACACCAAUUACUAACUUAGACAAGUUGUCUGCAGAGGAUACUUGUGAACAGCAAGUAUGUAAGAGAACCUCACGAUACAUCAACUGUGAGUUACGUACAAAUGAAGAGUUACAAAUUGUUAAAGAAAACUCUUUGGUUGAUUCCGAUGAAACUCAAUUUGAGACAACAGACACAUCGCAAGAAAAGCUAGGGCAAUAUAAAAGCAACACAAUAACUACAACUUUACUUGAGAACUUACAGGAAACAUCUAAGAAAAUUAAUGAAACUGCUUCUCUCUCCUUAGCUCCGGGAAGUCAAUUCUACUCUCACUGUUUUCUGAACGAAAAACUUCAAUCCCACAUUCAAUGUCUGAAGGCUUCUCAGCAAAAAGAAAAAAACAAGAACAUAGAAAAACUCUGCUUUAACAAUGAGGAGCUUAAUACCACAAACCUAAUCAAAGAUGACCUAAAUAAUCUUAAAAGCUCUACCCCAUUAAAGGUGGACAAAAUAAAUACGAAUGAGAGAGCACCAUUUUUUUCUUGCGCAAAAAAAUACCAAGAAAGAACAGAACAAACAGAGGCUGAGGCAUUGAAGCAGAAUUGUAAAUUUGAAAAUAUGACGGCAAGUAAUUCAAAUUACAAGGUUGCAAUUUUUUAUCCACCUGACUCAAGUGAACUGCGUUAUUCACAACUGGGUGCAAUGCUGCAAGAGCAUGCAAACCCACACUUUCUGGACAGUUUGAAAUGGGACUCAGUCCAUAAAAUUGAUGAUAAUACAUCGGAUGAGCGAAUGGUCUUUUUCACAAAAUUUUACCGUGCUGUGGAUCAAUUUUCAUGUAUGAUAAAUUCUGAAAUAAAUCAAAGAGAUUUAGAUGCUUUCGAUGAAUUCACCACCAGAAUGAGUUGCCUGAAGAUAAAUAGUGCAACAACUCAGAUGAGCUCAAUUUUUGAAAGCCACAACUGCAGGAACAUAACAAGGUCAGAACUUGAUCCUCAGACUAAGUGUCAACGAGAGCAAGGAACGAACACAGAGGAGAUGUUGACCGGUUUAUUGCGAUUGAUCUUUGGGUACAUGAAUGAUGUGCUGAGUGAUUGGUCUAAGUUACAUGAUGCAACCUUUGAUUGGCCAAAUUUGCUGGUGGAAAGGGUAUUUACUGAUAUAAAGCGCUACUUUGAUGAGAGACUCAACAAGAUGUCUCCUGACAAAAACACGAGGACAAGCUUUGAUAUUUGCUGCAAUUUCAUCAAGGCAACAAUAGACGGUAUACUGACAUCCGAUGAUACAUGUCAGGUAAAUAAAUUUUGA
rnacentral:lncRNA from 1 species